CUCUACAUUUCCACGAAAGGCUCCAAAAACCCCAAUCUCAAUCCUCUCCAUCUCCAUCCCUCUUUCGCAAGCGCUCCAACUGCCGUAAAUCUCGACUUCCCUCUCUCUCGCAAACGCUUCAGCCGCCUACUGUAAAUCAUGACUUUACCUCUCUCUCGUAAACGCUUCAGCUACCGUUUGAAGGAGCUCACCAAACGCUCACAAAAACCCUCGCAUCCGCCGUUCGGACGUCCGUGCCCUAUCGUUGUCCUUCCAUCCCUGUCGUCAUUUAUGCCCUAUCAUUUGAAGCAACUCUAGAGCAGUUAAGAAGAAACUAUCAGAUGUUAUUAAUUAGAUCGACGUUCCUAUAAUGAGCAAAUUUGGUUAAAAAUUCUCUUACUUCUGUAUUUAAUGGUAACAAGGAUGAUGAACUGCAAGCUGACAUUGAGGGUGGAAAUGAGGGACAUAUUAACUACUAUCCACAUAGAUAAGCUUAGUAGAUAUUUAAUUAUCGCGAGUCAUGUAGCCAUGAACCAAUUAGUGUAUAUCGAAUUGUGCACCUGAAAAAUUCAGAAACAAAAAGCGAAGGAAAAAACAGUUGUUGAUGGUCAGACUGGACACGGUAAUGGUGGAACAGUAGCUAAUGGAAGAUGGCAUCAAUGCUGAGCUAGCCUUGCUCCUUUUGAAGAUGCAAUUGUUGAUUCUCUUUUAGAGAAGGCAGAAAAAGAAAUUGUUUUUGGUAAUUCAAGAGGGAAGAACUUAAUAGGACACUGUGCACCAUUUCUUUCCAAGCUUUGCAGGAAUUUUAACUUGAUGCAUAAGGCUGUUACAUUGGUGUAGUUUUCUCCGCUAGUCAUUGAAGCUGUUCAAAGUUUGCUCAUUAAUACUAUUUGGUUCAAGAUACUUGAAAAAUCCUGAAGUGCUUGACAAAGUAGGAAUAAAACCUCCUCAUGGAGUUCUUUCGAAAGGAACUCCUGGCUAUGGUAAGGUUUUGCCAAAAUCCAUUAGAGCAGUGAAGUCAUAUUUGCGGCCAUUCAUUGAUGUAUAGGCAUUUUUGUAGGUUUGGUAGGAAAAUUUCUAGUUUAAAUGUAGUUAUUUAAAUAGCUUGUUCGUAACAAACCAUAUAUGUACCAACACUUAAAGCGAUAUUAUAAAGUGUAUGUUUCUUUAUAUUAAA